AAUUCAAACCCCCUCUUUCUCAAAUAUAGUUCUGACUCCAUUUUCAAAAUUUAAACCAUAAAUUCAGUCCCCUCACUCUCUCUCUCUCAAAUCCAAAGUUUUUUGCCCAGGUGACCUUCAAGUUUUAGACAGAUUUUUUUUCACCAUUUGCAUUCACUACGCUCCUGUUAGCCAAGGUACUGCAGAUGAAGAAGAAGCUUUAAACUUGAAUGCUCUUAAUGUGAUGAAGAUGAUGAUGACAAGGAUAAUGAAGAAGCACUAAUGGGAGAGCUUGAAUUAACAAGAAAGGAAAGAGCCGAGUAAAGAUCUUGAAGAUGAGGUUUACGAAUCUUCACUCGCAUAAGUGUUAUCUCAGCGAGGGAUUUUUUUUGUUAUUUUAAGAAUUUUUAAUUUACAGUUAUGAUGAUAAUUAGGCUUUUAAAUUGGAAUUUUAUCGGGUUGUGAUGAAGAACUAUUGUUUAUUGUAUAAGAUCGAUGAAGUGUUGAACUUAAAAGAGGUUGCGAAUAUGGCAGAAGGAUAUACAGGAAGUGACCUGAAGUAUCAUCCGGAUGUGUGUAGAGGAAGUAACUGUGGGGUUCGGUUUCAUCAAAUCAACGAAGCUUACGAUUGAUGAAGAUGAUGAUGACGAGGAUGAUGAAGAUGCACUUAUGGCAGAGCUUGAAUUAACAACAAAGGAAAUAACUAAAAAGAUGGCUGAAUUUACUAUAUUUUUUUAUUUGAAUUUUAGUUAUUAGUUUUGAAUAAUUUGUUUCUCUGCUGCUUUUUUAUUGGCGAAAGUACAGAUCGAUGAAGGGUUGAACUUAAAAGAGGUUGCGAAUAUGGUAGAAGGAU